UCCCCCUUUCCCUCUAACUAGAGAUAUUAAUUACUUAAGAUAAGAUUAGGAAGGGAAGGAAUCAAAAAUUUGGAUGAGGAAGAAGAGAAUUGGAGGAAGGGAAGGAAAAAUUUAUCCAAGGAACAAGAGAGAACCGGCAACCUCCGAAGGGUAAUUCCGUCUUUUUAGCUUCUUGGACACGAGAUGUUGCAGGUUCCAAUGAAAAUCCUGAGGAAGAAGAAGUUCCAUCAAAGGUCUAGAUCAGUGUCGUUAGUCACUGUUUGUAAAAUUAUUAAGGAAUAAAUUGUUUGAAUAUGACUCUAGUGUGUGUAACGAACUUUGAGCUACUGUGAGUCUGACUUUGUAUUUAUUAAAUAAGUUUAUAAUAUUAUUGCCUCUACUUCUAUCA